GACGAACGCUGGCGGCGUGCUUAACACAUGCCAGUCGAACGCUGAAGCUCAGCUUUUGUUGGGUGGAUGAGUGGCGAACGGGUGAGUAACACGUGAGUAACCUGCCCCCUUCUUUGGGAUAACGCCCGGAAACGGGUGCUAAUACUGGAUAUUCACUGGUCUUCGCAUGGGGGUUGGUGGAAAGGGUUUUUCUGGUGGGGGAUGGGCUCGCGGCCUAUCAGCUUGUUGGUGGGGUGAUGGCCUACCAAGGCUUUGACGGGUAGCCGGCCUGAGAGGGUGACCGGUCACAUUGGGACUGAGAUACGGCCCAGACUCCUACGGGAGGCAGCAGUGGGGAAUAUUGCACAAUGGGCGCAAGCCUGAUGCAGCGACGCCGCGUGAGGGAUGGAGGCCUUCGGGUUGUGAACCUCUUUCGCUCAUGGUCAAGCCACAACAAUGGUUGUGGUGAGGGUAGUGGGUAAAGAAGCGCCGGCUAACUACGUG
rnacentral:rRNA from 1 species